rnacentral:rRNA from 1 species
GAUGAACGCUGGCGGCGUGCUUAACACAUGCAAGUCGAGCGGGCAAUUUAUCUAGCACUGAUUACUUCAAAUGGCUAUCGCCAGUGUAAUCAUGAAUUUCUACCUUAUAAUAAAGAAAAAAGAAAUUCAUGUACGCAAAUAGUGAUAACACAUGAAAGAGGAGUGAUGAGUGCUGGAUAAAUUGCUAGCGGCGGACGGGUGCGUAACACGUGGGUAACCUGCCCCUAUCACUGGGAUAACACACUGAAAAGUGUGCUAAUACCAGAUAACAUAAGCUUUUGGCAUCAUUAGCUUAUCAAAGAAUUUCGGAUAGGGAUGGGCCCGCGUCUGAUUAGCUUGUUGGUGAGGUAACGGCUCACCAAGGCAACGAUCAGUAGCCGACCUGAGAGGGUGAUCGGCCACACUGGAACUGAGACACGGUCCAGACUCCUACGGGAGGCAGCAGUGGGGAAUAUUGCACAAUG